GUCCCCAUCGUCUAGUGGUUAGGACACCGCUCUUUCAAGGCGGAGACCGGGGUUCAACUCCCCGUGGGGACACCA
rnacentral:tRNA from 1 species